rnacentral:rRNA from 1 species
AUUGAACGCUGGCGGCAUGCUUUACACAUGCAAGUCGAACGGCAGCGCGGGCUUCGGCCUGGCGGCGAGUUGCGAACGGGUGAGUAAUGCAUCGGAACGUGCCCAGUAGUUGGGGAUAGCCCGGCGAAAGCCGGAUUAAUACCGCAUACGACCUGAGGGUGAAAGCGGGGGACCGAAAGGCCUCGCGCUAUUGGAGCGGCCGAUGUCGGAUUAGCUAGUUGGUGGGGUAAAGGCUUACCAAGGCGACGAUCCGUAGCUGGUCUGAGAGGACGACCAGCCACACUGGGACUGAGACACGGCCCAGACUCCUACGGGAGGCAGCAGUGGGGAAUUUUGGACAAUGGGGGCAACCCUGAUCCAGCCAUGCCGCGUGCGGGAAGAAGGCCUUCGGGUUGUAAACCGCUUUUGUUCGGGAAGAAAUCCUCUGGGCUAAUACCCCGGGGGGAUGACGGUACCGGAAGAAUAAGCACCGGCUAACUACGUG